GACGAACGCUGGCGGCGUGCCUAACACAUGCAAGUCGAACGGGGUAAUGACUUCGGUUAUUACUUAGUGGCGAACGGGUGAGUAACGCGUGAGAAACCUGCCUUUCAGUGGGGGACAACAGUUGGAAACGACUGCUAAUACCGCAUAAUGUUAUUUGGGGGCAUCCUCGAAUAACCAAAGAUUUAUUGCUGAAAGAUGGUCUCGCGUCUGAUUAGCUAGUUGGUGAGGUAACGGCUCACCAAGGGGACGAUCAGUAGCCGGUCUGAGAGGAUGAACGGCCACAUUGGGACUGAGAUACGGCCCAGACUCCUACGGGAGGCAGCAGUGGGGAAUAUUGGGCAAUGGGCGAAAGCCUGACCCAGCAACGCCGCGUGAAGGAAGAAGGCCUUCGGGUUGUAAACUUCUUUUACCAGGGACGAAUUUUGACGGUACCUGGAGAAAAAGCAACGGCUAACUACGUGCCAGCCGCCGCAGUAACAC
rnacentral:rRNA from 1 species